rnacentral:rRNA from 1 species
UGAGGGGGAGGCUACCAUGCAGUCGAACGGUAACAGGAAGCAGCUUGCUGCUUUGCUGACGAGUGGCGGACGGGUGAGUAAUGUCUGGGAAACUGCCUGAUGGAGGGGGAUAACUACUGGAAACGGUAGCUAAUACCGCAUAACGUCGCAAGACCAAAGAGGGGGACCUUCGGGCCUCUUGCCAUCGGAUGUGCCCAGAUGGGAUUAGCUAGUAGGUGGGGUAACGGCUCACCUAGGCGACGAUCCCUAGCUGGUCUGAGAGGAUGACCAGCCACACUGGAACUGAGACACGGUCCAGACUCCUACGGGAGGCAGCAGUGGGGAAUAUUGCACAAUGGGCGCAAGCCUGAUGCAGCCAUGCCGCGUGUAUGAAGAAGGCCUUCGGGUUGUAAAGUACUUUCAGCGGGGAGGAAGGGAGUAAAGUUAAUACCUUUGCUCAUUGACGUUACCCGCAGAAGAAGCACCGGCUAACUCCGUGCCAGCAGCCGCGGUAAUACGGAGGGUGCAAGCGUUAAUCGGAAUUACUGGGCGUAAAGCGCACGCAGGCGGUUUGUUAAGUCAGAUGUGAAAUCCCCGGGCUCAACCUGGGAACUGCAUCUG